AAAAAACAAGACACUGAUGUUGUAUGUACUUUCUUGUGUCUCUUCCCCCACAUAUUUUUUGCUUUUAGCUGAAGGGAGUGAUAAAGGUUCUGCUACAAAAUGUCAACAUUCAAGGAUGAUCCCACUCCAGAAGGACAGAUGAGAUAUGUAGAACAUGGAUAAUCAGACUUCCCAGGACCAGAAGAAUCUUCCCCUGAAAUCAACAAGCUUCUUGGAGAUGCCUGGGCUAGAACAGAAGAAGAACAAGAGUGGAGGAGGGUCAGAGGGAGAAGAAGGUAAAAGAGCAUAGCACUGUGCCUUAAAACCUAGAGUAUCUUCAGCAGAGGAUUUGAAACAAGGUUUAUGUGUGUACACACACAUAUAAAUAUAUGUGUUUAUGUAUGUAUACAUGCAUGUAUGAAUGAUUUCACUGAUAUACUAAACUGCUUUCCACAUGACAAAUGAUAGUCUUGGGUCUAUAAUAGGUGGCUUUUGUUCCAAAU
rnacentral:lncRNA from 1 species